AUCGCGCGUUUAGUGCGCGAAUUUCAUUCAAAAUAUCGCGCAUUUAAAGCGGAAGUGUCGUCCAAAGUAUCGCGCAUUUAGUGCGGGAGUUUCGUUCAAAGUAUCGCACGUUUAAUGCGGGAGUGUCGUCCAAAGUAUCGUGCGUUUAGUGCGGGAGUUUCGUCCAAAGUAUCGUGCGUUUAGUGCGAGAGUGUCGUCCAAAAUAUCGCGCGUUUAGUGCGGGAGUUUCGUUCAAAAUAUCGUGCGUUUAGUGCGGGAGUGCUUUUCAAAAUAUUUUGCGCGUAUUUCGGAAAUCGGACUUUCACAAAUAAACAGACAAUUGUGAUCAACCCGACUUGAGAGGAGGAGGAGGCUUGUAUAGGAGGCAUCGGACACCAGCGGAGCAACUCUGGGGUCAACGUAGCUUCGAUGCAGUUAUAACUCUGCUGUUGCGCAUCUGUCGAUUCAUGACUGCUCGAAAACACGUACUGCUUGUGGAAAACGUGUUUUCAAUCGAAAUUGUAAGUAGCUUCACGAUAAGUCCCCAGGAGUCAAUAAAUCGGGGGCCUCUUCCCAUCUACGAUGACCUAUGCUCGGAUGCACCGUCCGUCUUUCUCUCGCUCUUCUCUCUUCUGACCGAUCGUCCUGUCAUCGUUUGUCUUUGUCGUUUCCGCUGACCAGGCCACCACUGGUUCACCUCUGUCGAAGCUAACUUCUCCCCUCCGGCAGGACAGACUAGGUCGGCGAAUCGAAUCCAGCGUUUAUUUCUUGCUGCAGAGAGUUGCCGGAGGGUGCGAAAUUUUCCAAGUAGUACGCGUGAAUACAAGAGAGAUAGAAUAAUGCAGUAGGGAGAGACAAGAUAGAUCGUACAAAGAUCCAACCGGAGAGAGUAAAAUGAUACGAAUCAAAGAGAGAGAGAGAGAGAGAAAACGAGACUAUAAAAUCGUACGUGAAAAAGAAC